UACGUAGGGGGCAAGCGUUAUCCGGAUUUACUGGGUGUAAAGGGAGCGUAGACGGAAAGGCAAGUCAGAAGUGAAAGCCCAAGGCUCAACCAUGGGACUGCUUUUGAAACUGUCAAACUAGAGUACGGGAGAGGUAAGAGGAAUUCCUAGUGUAGCGGUGAAAUGCGUAGAUAUUAGGAGGAACACCAGUGGCGAAGGCGUCUUACUGGACCGAAACUGACGUUGAGGCUCGAAAGCGUGGGGAGCGAACAGG
rnacentral:rRNA from 1 species